UAAGAACCACUUCUCAGCCAAGCACAGUGGCUCAUACCUGUAAUCCCAGCAUUUUGGGAGGCCGAGGUGGGUGGAUCACCUGAGUUCAGGAGGUCAAGAUCAAUCUGGACAAUAUGGUGAAACCCUGCCUCCACUAAAAAUA